GACUGACUCGGCUAUCCCUUUCAACCCUGGCGUCCCAUAUCCUUCCCACGGUGGCCUUCUUGCCGCUUUGUGGUGCCCCCUGUGGGCGAGACAGGCACCUUGCGUGCAAGCCAGGGACUCCACGAUAUUCCCAGACCCACCGCAGAGGCUGCCUGGAAGACCGUGUUAUCCAUGGCAGAACCCCAGCAUCCCCUCUUUAUUCCCCAGGCUGCCUCAACGUCCACCUUCGAACCUGACGUGCUGUCUCCUUCCCCUGAGAAGCUACUCGCUGCUUUGGGGUGCCCCCCAUGGGCCCCUGGGUGUAAGACUGGGACUCAACAACCCCUCCGUGUCCGGCAAAGGGGUUGCACCCCAAAGUCGCAAGUAGGCCUCCGGGGGAACGGAACAGGAAGACAGGCUUUAAUGGGGACGCUGAGGCAGCACGGAGAGAAAAGAGGCUAGCCGGGUUCCUCCCAUGGAUGACAGUGCCUUCCUGGCAGCCCAUGCGUAGGGCCCUGGGGGAGCGUGGAGUCCCUGUCUUGCACCCAGGAUGCGUGUCUCGCCCACGGGAGGCACCCCAAAGCUUCAAACAGGCCCCCAGGGGAAGGGGACAGCACGUCAGACUUGAAGGGGGACGUUGAGGUAGCCUAGGGUAAAAAACCGUGACGCUGGUUCUCCCACGGACGACAGUGCCUUCCUGGCUGCCCAUUCGCUGGGCCGGGGAGGUCUUGGCGUCCCUGGCUUGCAUCCCGGGUGUGUGUCUCGCCCAGGGGUGGCACCACAAAGCAUCAAGGAGGCCCCGGGGGAAGGGUACCAGACGCCAGGGUUGAAAAGUUUAGUUGAGGCAGUCCCGGAAAAAAGCGGCGGUCCAGUGUCCACCCAAGGACAACCGUGUCUGCCCAGCAGCCCCUGCACCGGGCCCGGGGUGGUCGUGGAGUCCCUGGCCUACACCUGGGGUGCGUGUCGCGCCCACAGUGAGCACCCCAAAGCAGUAAAAGUCCCCCAGUGGAAGGCAACAGGAAAUCAGCCUUGAACGGGGACCUUUAGGUAGCCCAGAGAAAAAAGCGGCGAGGCUGAGGUGAUCCCAGGGAUAACAGUGCCUUCCCGACAGCCCUGCGCCGGUCCUGGCGGUGUCGUAGAGUCCCUGGCUUGUACUCAAGAGUGUGCAUCUCGCCCUCAGGAGGCACCCCAAAGAGGCAAGAAGGUCCCCGGGGGAAGGGGACAGGAUGUUAGGCUUAAAAGGGGACUUUGAGGCAAUCCAGGGAAAUAAGCAGUAAGCCAGGGUCCUUCGAACGACAGUGCCUUCGCGGCAGCCUCUCGCCCUGCCCAGUGGGGUUCUGGAGUCGCUGGCUUGCACCCAGGUUGCGUGUCGCUUCCACGGGAAGCACCCCAAAGCACCAAGAAGGCCUCUGUUGGAAGGGAAGAGGGCGCCAGGCCUGAAACGGAACGUUGAGGUAGCACGGGGAAAAAAGCAGCGGGCCGCGGACGUCCCACAGACGACAGUGCCUUUCCGGCAGUCCCUGCACCAGGCCCGGGGUCGUCGUGGAGUCCCUGGCUGCACCCAGGGUGCAUGUCGCACUCACGGGGGACACCUCAAAGCCUCAAGAAGGCCUCCGGGGGAAGGAAACGGGACGCCGGGCUUGAAAGGGGACGUUGAGGCAGUCCGGGGUAAAAACUUCCCACGGAUGACAGUGCCUUUCUGGCAGCCCCUUUGCCCUGCAUGGGGAUGGUUGUUGAUUCCCUGGUUUGCACCCAGGGUGAGUGUCUCCCCCAUGGGGGGCACCCCAAAGCGAAAAGAAUGUUCCCCGGGGAAGGGUACAGCACGUCAGGCUUGAAGGGGGACGUUCAGGCAGCCCCGGGGAAAAAAGCGGGGAUACUGGGGUCCGCUCAUGGACGACAUUGCCUUCCCGGCAGCCUCUGCGGUGGGCCCAGGAGCUGCGUGGAGUCCCUGGCUUGCACCCAGCUUGCAUGUCUCACCCACGGGGCGCACCACAAAGAGGCAAGAAGGCCACCGGGGGAAGGGCACAGGACAUCAGGGUUGAAAGGCAUAGUUGAAGCAGUACGGGAAAAAAAGAGGAGGGAUGGUGUCUUCCCACGCACGACAGAGCCUUCCCGGCAACCCCUGCGCUGGGCCCGGAGGGAUCGUGUAGUCCCUGGCUUGCACCCAUGGUGCGUGUCGUUCCCACAGGGGCACCCCAAAGUGGUAAGAAGGCCUCCCAGGGAAGGGAACAAGACGCCAGGCUUUAAAGAGGACGCUGAGGCAGCACGGCGAAAAAUGCGGCCAGCCGGUUUCCUCCCAUGAUGGCAAUUCCUUCCCGGCAGUCCCUGGCUUCCUCCCAGGGUGCGUGUCUCUCCCACUAAGUGCACCCCAAAGCGGCAAGUAGUCCCCUGGGGGAAGGGGACAGCACUUCAGGCUUCAAGGGGGACAUUGAGGCAGCCCGGGGAAAACAACCUCGAGGCUGGGAUUCUCCCACGGACGACAGUGCCUUCCUGGCGGCCCCUGCGCCGGGCCGAGGGUUUCAUGGAGUCCCUGGCUUGCACCCAGGGUAAGAGUCUCGCCCACGGGGGCCACCCCAAGGCAGCAUGAAUACCUGCGGGGGAAGGGAACAGGAGGCCAGGCUUGAAAGGAGACGUUGAGGCAGUCGGGAGGGAAAACAAUCCCAUGGAGAACAGUGCCUUCCCGGCAGUGUCUGUGCCGGACUCGGGGUGGUCGUGGAGUCCCUGGCUUGCACCCAGGGGGCGUGUCUUUCAAGCGGGGUACUUUUCCCCAGGGGAAUUGUUGUUGCUAUGGGGUGCCCCCUGAGGGCGAGACACACAACCUUUGUGCAAGACAGGGACUCCAGGGCCCCCCAGCCCGCCGCAGGGGCUGCCCGGAAUGCACUGUCUUCCCUGAGAAGUUUUUCCACGGACUGCCUCAACGUCCCCUUUAAAGCCAGCUCCCAUCCCCCGCUGCCUUCUUGACACUUUAGGGUGCCCCCGUGGGUGAGACAGGCACCCUGGGUGCAAGCCAGGGAAUCCUUGCCUGAGGCCUGGGUGUCUCUCGUGUCCUCACAACAGGAGUUUACACGAAGUUGGUGGCCAUGGGAAUCCGGGUUCACAAGGAUGUUUCCCUGGUAGCUGGCAAAGGCAAUGUUCUUCCCUGGAAAAAGCAGCCCGUGCGUUCUGGAGGAGGUCUUGGCUGGCGUCUGUGGGACCCUCUGCCCCUGCCCACCCCUUCCCCAGCCUCGGGCGUUUGCGGCGGCGCCAGAUGAGUGAAUUAAAUUACCUAGGCCUUCCUGGAGCAGGAAGACAACCAGCAUGGCAGGGAACCUGGGCCUGCGCCUUUGGGGUCUGGUGCUGGCCUGCCCCGCCCUGCCUAGAGCUGGGGACCUUGUGGAGCUGCAGCAAGGCAGAAGAGGUGGGAUGCUGCUGCCCGGCGGUGUACGAGGAGGUCCUGGUGUGCGGUGGGGACGCAGGCAGGUGGAAAAUGGGUAGCAGAGUCAGGGAGUGGUUGGGAAGUAGGGCACAAAAGGGAGAAAGAGGGAGCGGGAAGCCAAAAGCCUACAGCACCUUGUAUUCCCAGGCGGUCUCUCUUCCAAGUACUGAACCAGGCCCCACCCUGCUUAGCGUCACAGGCCAGAGAUCAGGUGUCUCAGGGCGGUAAGGCCUUAGACACCCGCAGUGAUACCUGGCUGACACAAGAGCCUGGCCCACCAUGCCCGCCAGACUCCAGGCAUUACCGCCACUCCAAAGCCACGCGGCUUGGAUCGGGACAACUCUAAGCCACUCCUCGCCUGCUGCUCGGCUGCUCUCCCCCUCCACGCCGGAGCACUGUGGGCCACCGCGCUGCACCUUCUGCCGGCUUCCAAGGGGCUCCAGCCAUAGCAGACAAGGCCAUGCACUGGACCAUCUCGGCGCCGCCCUGCUGCUGAGUGAGGACGCCAGAGGUGUCCAUCCGCUGCACAGACUUCGGGCUCUCUGGUUGGUCUCCAUUCCUCCGACGCUUCAGGGCUUCCCCAGGCUCAUGAACUCCCAAGCUUCCACCACAUCGGGCUUGCUGAGCUUGUGCUCCCAGGAGUCAGGGAUACCCUUCUGUCCUCCUUGCCACGGAGGGAUUGUUUUGGUUCCCUCGCCGCCCCUCCUGCAAGGCCCCCUCUCUCCUCACCCACCCAGUGCUGCCAGGGCUGCUCAAGGGUGAACAGGUGGCCUAGCCCCAUGGGCCCUUUCUCUUACAACGUCCCUAACAGGGUCGCUUGUCCGGACAAGGACAUGGCCCAUGGCCAAGUGAGUGGGGGGAGCUGCUUUGCCCCGCGCUGCCACUGGAGCUAGCCGACUGAUUGCGGGAGAGAGAGGCUGAUGGACAGCCAGACACACCUCACCAGCACCAAGAAGAAACCCACCCCCACCCCCACAGACACACAUGGAUGCACGCUCGCGGGCACACAGAGACACACACAGAUACACAAAGAUACAGAUAGACAGCUUGAAGGAGAUCAAGGGAAAGAGGGAUGGAGAGAUAGAAACUGAGGGAGAGAGAGCUAGAGAGAGAGAGAGAGACAGGAAUGAGAGGGAGAAAGAAAGAGAGAGAAGGUGACAGAAAGAGCAUGAGAUGGAGGGAGCAGGAGAGAAAUAGAGAGAGGGUGACAGAACUAGAGAGCCAGAGCAUUAAAGCCUGGGAGAGGGAGCUCUCUGCUCUCGUAGACAGGGCUCCUUCCAGCAGGGGUAGGGUGGAGGGUGCUUGAGCCUGGCGGGAACAGGUGGGCAGGCCGCCCAUGCAAGAGGACCAACAGAACCCUGAGACGUAUUUUUGCUUGGAUUGGUUGCUUGCUUUUGGGGUGCGUUUCAUAGGGUCCUUUUGUUGGCUACUCCCUAUCUUCUUGGUGCAGUGGGCACCGAGAUUUGGAGAGUGCGUCCUUCCCUCUGGUGGGAGCCCUGGCGCAGAGCGUGCCGACCGGGCCGAGGCCUGGGUCUCUCUCGUGUCCUCAGGACUGGAGUUGACACGAAGACGGUGCCAAUGGGAAUCCGGGUGCACAGAGACGGAUUGCCUCGUGACUGGCGAAGGCAAUGUCCUUCCCCUGGGGAAAGCAGCCCAUAGGUCCAGGAGCAGAGGUUUUGGAUGGUGUCUGUGGGACCUCUGUCCCUGGCCGCCACUUCCCCCACCGGCUUGAACUAUUGCAUGGUGCCAGAUGAGUAAAUUGAAUUGCCUGGGCGUCCCGGGAGCGUGAAGACACGGGUCACCUCAGGGAACAUAUACCGUCCUGCCACGGCUGGAGCCGGGCACCUGGUGGGGCUGCAGCAAGAAGGAGGAUGUGGGAUGCUGUUGCCUGGCGGUGCUGCAGCGGUGGAACCCCACGAGGAGGUCCCGGGUUGCUUUGGGGCCGCAGUACUCCCUUCAGCAUUCCUUGUAGGACAGUCAUGGUAUUGAUGAAAUCCUUCAACUUUUGUUUGUCUGGAAAAGUCAGUAUUUCUUCUUAUUAUUUGAAGGACAUUUUCGCUGUAUAUGCUAUUCUAAGGAUUUGUCGCUGAUGCCUUACUUCAUUCACUUUGUGAGGUCAUGUUUUCCUGGAUGGUGACAAUGCUAGCAGAUGUUCUUCAGUGUCUGGACAUUAAAACUUUGGCAUGCAGCACCACAUAAGAUGUGAAAAAAAGAUUUUUUUUAAAAAAAAGAUGAGCAUUAAUUGUAGACUUCACUGUGUGGGGUUAUUCGUAGCUAUCUUUCUUGGGAAGGAUUUCCACAUAUUUGAAAAGGCAGGUGUUGUGAUCUAAGCCAUAUCUGCUUUAGGGGGCACCGUAUACCCAAUAGUGCUGUAAUUUUUGCAGUCUCAUUGAUGUACCACCUUGACAGUCUUGGACAAUAUCCAGGAAAAUUUUCUGGAUUAGUAGCCAGAGACUCUUGUUCUCUAACCUUAUUUUCCCUCAAAGAUACAGAGUCUUUCUCUCUAUUCUAAGCCACCUAAAGUUGGGAGGAGAAUGACACGAGCACCCCUGGCCGCCACCACUGGCUGCCCUGGGUCAGACCUGAAGCUGGCAUAGCACCGGGUCUUGCUCAAGUCCUGCUGCACGCACUUUCUGACAACUGUCUAUGUUCACUCAAGGCCUUUGGUCUCUGCAAUUAGCAGGUGGCAAAGCCAGCCAUAUCUGUGCUCUUUCCUUCAGGGCAGCGAGUUUCCUCAGUCCCUGGCUGGGUCCAGAAGUGCCAUUCGGAAGUCAGGGAGUAAAGUCAAAAAUUUCAGAAGUCCACCGGACAUUCUAUUGCAUUCCAGCUGAGCUGGCAUUCAAACCACAAGACACAGCCCUUCCUAUUACCUCCUUUCCUUUUCCAAAGGCAGAGUAGCCCCAAGCACCCCAGGCCACAAGGAGUACUGCCAUGUUACCACCUUUGUUCCUUUAAGGCCCAAAUCCUCUUUUCCGCUUGUGAUGAAUAUUGCCUGGACUGGGACUUGCCGUUUUCAGGCCACUGGUCUCCCCACUGGCCCUGGGCAGGUUCAUAUAUGCCAACCAAGAAUCAAGUCCUAGAAUCAGGGAUCCCAAAACCUUUCUUGGUGCUCUACCCACCUCUGGCCUUGCCGGUACUUAAGUGGCAUGAAAAAGUCCCCUUUACUUUUCCCUCUGCCUUUCCCAAGCAAAAGGAGUUUUGCCCCUUAGAUACCACAGCUUGUAAUGUGCUGAAUCUCACCUAAAUCUAGUAAGUCUAUGAGGCUCACACAAGCCUCUUGAUGUAGUAUCUGGGUAUGGCUGCUGGUUAUUCAGGGCCCAAAGGUUGUUAAGUUUGCAGGUGAUAAAUGCUGCCAGCACUGGGUUCUUUCCUUCAAGGCAGCAGGUUUCCUUCUGGCCCGGGGUGUGUCUUGGAAUGUCUAGGAGCCAGAGCCUGGAAAGGAGGACUCAGGACUCUGACCAGUGCACUAUCUUGCUGUGGUUGAGCUGGUAUCCAGGAUGGAAGACAAAGUCCUCCCUACUCUUUUUCCUCCUCUCCUCAAGCAGAAGGAUGGGGUCCCUUUUGGAGCUAUAAGCUGUGCAGCCUGGUAUUAGGAGAGUGAUAAUUCCAGAACCCCUUUGGCUGCCCCAGCUGGUGUCUCAGUAUGUUGCAUGACCUCCCACCUUAGUUGACUGUUCCUGGGUCCAGUUCAGCCCUAGGCCUCACCUAAGAGUUGCAGUCCUGAUGGCCUAGGCUGCCUUUCAAGUUUUCUUAGAUACAUGGAGCUCUGGAGCCCUCAGUACCCAGAUUUCCAAAUGCUCAAGUUCCAACCACCGAAAUCUCAUUCCCCUCUGGCCAGGGCUGGUUUAAAUAAUCCCUCUGUGGAUGGGCUUUAGCUGCAUUUGGUUUGGUUUUCCUUUCUGGUCUAACAGGGCAGCACAGAGUUCAAUGUCUUAAAAUUUCUG